AGAAGCAUGGUAUAAUCCCGCUUGGGCAAGGAUCAGCCUAUGCCGCUCGAGAGGCGCCGUAGGCGGGGUCAGUUUUGCCCGUAUUGGUCGCUUCGGUCGCAGGGAAGGGAGGCUGGACGAGACCGAGAGGGCGGUGCGGCUCCGAAGGUUCAUACAUGUGGGUAGCUCGCAUAUGGAAGACUGGCAUGCGGCUUUGUACGUGAGAAAGAAUCAGGGGUCGAGGAGGAGGUCGAUCCAUUUUCUCCUAGGUAAAGUCGGGCAGAAGACCUGAAAAUGAGAGCCGACGUGCACGGAUUUCUCUGUAUUAAUGCCGAUCUCAAAAGUAAAAUAAUGCUGCUUACCCUGCACUUCCCCACGUCGCCCUCACGUCCCUCUUCAGCGACUUUUUCUUCCUCCUCGUUUCUUCCUUCGCUAUUUUGCAGUGCCCUACCCCAUUUCUGCUCUAAUACGGACCGAACAGGUUUGUCGACCUAGCUUCCACCUUCAACCCUUCUCCAUUGAAUCAUUUCUGGCCUUCUACAGCUUCGAUUCUAGGCAGCAAACAGAUAACCAGGACUCUAUUUGGCGCAUAGCAGUACAUUUUUUUUGGUCCAUCCACUGCAGGAUGGAAAGGUUCUGCACAUUAUGCUCGCAUUUUUAAACAUGAUGUGACAAAUCCUAAAUUUAAUUUUCCAAAACCACCAACAGGUAAAUAUUACUUAAUUGAUGCAGCUUUUCCUCUGAAAAAAGGAUAUCUGAAGCCUUACCAAGAUACACGAUAUCAUUUAGCAGAUUUUGUUCGAGAAAGUUAACCAAUAAGGGGUUACAGGGAAGUAUUCAAUAAGAGACAUUCCUCAUUACGAAGUAUCAUUGAGCGUGCAUUUUGUGUGUGGAAAAAAAAAUGGAGAAUUCUACAUGAUAUGUCAAAUAACGCAUUCAAGAAACAAUGUCAAAUAAUUAUAGGUACAAUGACAUUGCAUAAUUUUAUGCGAAGACAUAACUCACGGGUCGAUCCUGAUUUUGAUGAGUAUGAGAAGGAUGAAAACUUUGGUUUUUCUGACUGUAGUCUAGACAGAGUUCCAGAACCAGAUGAAGAAAAUGUUUGUGUUGACGAACAGGCUGAUGGUGAAGGUGUAACUGAGAUGAAAGAAGUUAGAGAUAAUAUCACAAAACAAUUGUACAACUUUAGUAUGUAGUAUAGUUAUCUUAAUAAUGAUUUUCAAAAUUUAAUAUUAUAGAAAAAUUGUGUUGUGUUUUCUUUUGUUAUUAA